rnacentral:rRNA from 1 species
AGUACCUACGGGGGGCAGCAGUGGGGGAUAUUGCACAAUGGGGGAAACCCUGAUGCAGCGACGCCGCGUGGGUGAAGAAGCGCCUCGGCGCGUAAAGCCCUGUCAGCAGGGAAGAAAAUGACGGUACCUGAAGAAGAAGCCCCGGCUAACUACGUGCCAGCAGCCGCGGUAAUACGUAGGGGGCAAGCGUUAUCCGGAUUUACUGGGUGUAAAGGGGGCGCAGACGGCGAUGCAAGCCAGGAGUGAAAGCCCGGGGCUCAACCCCGCGACUGCUCUUGGAACUGCGUGGCUAGCGUGCAGGAUGG